GCAGUAGCCACGGUAAUACAGAGGGUGCGAGCGUUAAUCGGAUUUACUGGGCGUAAAGCGUGCGUAGGCGGCUUCUUAAGUCGGAUGUGAAAUCCCUGAGCUUAACUUAGGAAUUGCAUUCGAUACUGGGAAGCUAGAGUAUGGGAGAGGAUGGUAGAAUUCCAGGUGUAGCGGUGAAAUGCGUAGAGAUCUGGAGGAAUACCGAUGGCGAAGGCAGCCAUCUGGCCUAAUACUGACGCUGAGGUACGAAAGCAUGGGGAGCAAACAGGAUUAGAUACCCGUGUAGUCCCUGUCUCUUAUAC
rnacentral:rRNA from 1 species